rnacentral:rRNA from 1 species
GACGAACGCUGGCGGCGUGCCUAAUACAUGCAAGUCGAGCGAAUCACUAGGAGCUUGCUCCUGGUGGUUAGCGGCGGACGGGUGAGUAACACGUGGGCAACCUGCCUGUAAGACUGGGAUAACACCGGGAAACCGGUGCUAAUACCGGAUAAUCCUUUUCCUCUCAUGAGGAAAAGCUGAAAGUCGGUUUCGGCUGACACUUACAGAUGGGCCCGCGGCGCAUUAGCUAGUUGGUGAGGUAACGGCUCACCAAGGCGACGAUGCGUAGCCGACCUGAGAGGGUGAUCGGCCACACUGGGACUGAGACACGGCCCAGACUCCUACGGGAGGCAGCAGUAGGGAAUCUUCCACAAUGGACGAAAGUCUGAUGGAGCAACGCCGCGUGAGCGAUGAAGGCCUUCGGGUCGUAAAGCUCUGUUGUUAGGGAAGAACAAGUACCGGAGUAACUGCCGGUACCUUGACGGUACCUAACCAGAAAGCCACGGCUAACUACGUGCCAGCCGCCGCCGUAA